CGGGUUGUCCUCGUGCGGGGGCUUGGGGUGAUCAUGAUUGUAGAAGGCCCUCAGGGGUAACAUGAAGGCCGAUCAUAUGUCCGGGUCCUGUAUUCUGGUGAGUUAGUCCUCAUUGGGGGACUGGGACGAUCGUGUAACUUGGCUCCUCAUUUGUCUUACCUUUUAGUGGGAACCUUCACUAGGGGGUAAGGACGCGUCCCUACGCCUCGUAGGAGUGGUCACGGCUCUAUCCGAUGUCUCCUCCAUGCUACGAAGAGUAGCGGUUAGUGUCAUCUCUCGUAGUGGAGAUGAUGCCGU
rnacentral:lncRNA from 1 species